CCUACGGGUGGCAGCAGUGAGGAAUAUUGGUCAAUGGGCGUAAGCCUGAACCAGCCAAGUCGCGUGAGGGAUGAAGGUUCUAUGGAUCGUAAACCUCUUUUAUAAGGGAAUAAAGUGUGGGACGUGUCCUAUUUUGUAUGUACCUGAAGAAAAAGCAUCGGCUAACUCCGUGCCAGCAGCCGCGGUAAUACGGAGGAUGCGAGCGUUAUCCGGAUUUAUUGGGUUUAAAGGGUGCGCAGGCGGAAUGUCAAGUCAGCGGUAAAAUUUCGGGGCUCAACCCCGUCGUGCCGUUGAAACUGGCGUUCUUGAGUGAGCGAGAAGUAUGCGGAAUGCGUGGUGUAGCGGUGAAAUGCAUAGAUAUCACGCAGAACUCCGAUUGCGAAGGCAGUUCACUGGACUGCAACUGACACUGAGGCUCGAAAGUGUGGGUAUCAAACAGGAUUAGAUACCCGAGUAGUC
rnacentral:rRNA from 1 species